rnacentral:lncRNA from 1 species
CCCACUUCUGGGUUUAACUAUGGUAUGUUAUCUAACUCGAGUUAUUUUUUGUGUUUUGUUGUAGUACAAGAUAUAAGGAAGAAAUGAGAAAAAAUAGCAUGAAAAGAAGAAGAGUUUGUGAAAAGAUUCAUAAGCCCAUAAACAAGCCUUGGGUAAUGCUAAGAGUCAUGCACAAUAAUAGAUUUAAAUUAAAACGUGUGUUUUUUAAAUUUGUAAAAAAAAUAUUAU